CCCUUAGAUGUUCUGGGCUGCACGCGCGCUACACUGAUGCGUUCAACGAGUUUAUAACCUUGUCCGACAGGAUUGGGUAAUCUUUUGAAAACGCAUCGUGAUGGGGAUAGAUUAUUGUAAUUAUUAAUCUUCAACGAGGAAUUCCUAGUAAGUGCGAAUCAUCAGUUCGCACUGAUUACGUCCCUGCCCUUUGUACACACCGCCCGUCGCUCCUACCGAUUGGCUGAUCCGGUGAAUAAUUCGGACCGGUACCUCAAGUGGUUCGCCGCUUUUGGCGCUGGAAAGUCUAGUAAACCUUAUCAGCUAGAGGAAGGAGAANUCGUAACA
rnacentral:rRNA from 1 species